rnacentral:rRNA from 1 species
AAUUUUGGACAAUGGGCGAAAGCCUGAUCCAGCCAUGCCGCGUGUGUGAAGAAGGUCUUCGGAUUGUAAAGCACUUUAAGUGGGGAGGAAGGGGUUGAAGCUAAUACCUUCAAUCUUUGACGUUACCAACAGAACAAGCACCGGCUAACUCUGUGCCAGCAGCCGCGGUAAUACAGAGGGUGCAAGCGUUAAUCGGAAUUACUGGGCGUAAAGCGCAAGUAGGUGGUUCAGUAAGAUGGAAGUGAAAUCCCCGGGCUUAACCUGGGAACUGGUUUCAUAACUGCUGAGGUAGAGUACGGUAGAGGGUAGUGGAAUUUGCUGUGUAGAGGUGAAAUGCGUAGAUAUAGGAAGGAGCACCAGUGGCGGAGGCGACUACCUGGACUGAUGCUGACACUGAGGUGCGAAAGCGUAGGGAGCAAACAGG